rnacentral:rRNA from 1 species
AAACUUAUCAGGGUAAGAAGUUUGUGGGAUUGACAGAUUGAGAGUUCUUUCUUGAUUGAACUAAUGGUGGUGCAUGGCCGUUCUUAGUUGGUGGAGUGAUUUGUCUGGUUAAUUCCGUUAACGAACGAGACCUUAACCUACUAACUAGUAUCUUGUUUUCCAACGAGAAUGCUUCUUAGAGGGACAACGUGUUGUAAACACAUGGAAGUUUAAGGCAAUAACAGGUCUGUGAUGCCCUUAGAUACCCUGAGCCGCACGCGCGCUACAAUGACACUUUCAUCAAGUAUUUGCUGAUCCGAAAGGAUUCUGGCUAAUCUUUUUAGUGAGUGUCGUGCUAGGGAUUGAUCUUUGUAAUUGUGGAUCAUGAACGAGGAAUUUCUAGUAAGCGCGAUUCAUUAGAUCGUGCUGAUUACGUCCCUGCAAAAUGUACACAUCGCCCGUCGCUUGCUCCGAUUGAGUGAUCUGGUGAGUCCUCUGGACCGAGCAGCUUGCUGCGAGGAAAAUUGAGCAAACCAUAUUACUUAGAGGAUGAAGAAGUCGUAACAAAGUUUCCGUAGGUGAACCUGCAGAAGGAUCA